rnacentral:pre_miRNA from 1 species
GUUAUUCGUGAAUUCGUUGUCUGUUCGACCUUGAAUACAGCCCUGAAUUAGUUGUUGAGUCGGAGAAAGGAUUUCCCUCAUAGC